CCUACGGGGGGCAGCAGUGGGGAAUCUUCCGCAAUGGGCGAAAGCCUGACGGAGCAACGCCGCGUGAGUGAUGACGGCCUUCGGGUUGUAAAACUCUGUGAUCCGGGACGAAAAGGCAGAGUGCGAAGAACAAACUGCAUUGACGGUACCGGAAAAGCAAGCCACGGCUAACUACGUGCCAGCAGGCGCGGUAAUACGUAGGUGGCAAGCGUUGUCCGGAAUUAUUGGGCGUAAAGCGCGCGCAGGCGGCUUCCCAAGUCCCUCUUAAAAGUGCGGGGCUUAACCCCGUGAUGGGAAGGAAACUGGGGAGCUGGAGUAUCGGAGAGGAAAGUGGAAUUCCUAGUGUAGCGGUGAAAUGCGUAGAGAUUAGGAAGAACACCGGUGGCGAAGGCGACUUUCUGGACGAAAACUGACGCUGAGGCGCGAAAGCGUGGGGAGCAAACAGGAUUAGAUACCCGAGUAGUC
rnacentral:rRNA from 1 species